rnacentral:tRNA from 1 species
GGUAGCGAAAGGGGCCGUAUCUUCCCUCGCACGGAAGAAGCCAGGGGUUCAAAUCCCCUCACCUCCA